AAUAGAUGUGUCAGCCGUAUGAGAUGAAAGAGAAAUGCCAAGACCAAGGUGGGUGGCCGCCAAAGGAGUUAGUCUAACGAGGAUUAAUUUUCAAACAGAAGUACACAAAGUGCUCUCUGUGAGCUGAUAGACAAGAGCACUUACUGCCAACACUUUGGCUACCCAUGUCUGACAAGAUAGUGGAUUUUAUCAUCACUAUUAUAGCACAACCAUGGCCCAAAAAAGUGUGGCAAUGGGCCAUGAAUCCAUCGAUCCACAGCCCAAGCAUGCUAAAACUUAGGAGUAGCCAACAGAAACAAAGACAUUAAUUGUUCGGGUACUAUUUGAACAAUUCAAUAUAUUGUUACAUAAGGGAAGUAUAAUAUCUGUAAAUUGUAUUUUAUCUGUAUACCAAUAUUAACCAUUUUUAGCAUUAAUAUUAAUCUGUCAUAAAAACGUAAAAAAAUUACAAAGUUACGUUUUAUGUUCUAAUACUUGCUCUAUACAAUUUACAGAUGUAUAAUUAAUAUUCAUAUACGCUGUUACAGUAAGUUAAGGAUUUUAGCUACAAAUGACAUAUUUCAGUUUGUAUGAUGAGAUUCAAACUUUAAGUGAUAAAAUAUAUAUUUUUAAUCAUCUAUUUCAAAAUAUUGUUUUCAAUAUUGCAUUUAUUUAUUUAAGUUUAUAAAAAUAUACAGCUUGUACGAGUUUUAUAUUACUGAUUGAUACAAAAAUUGGUUUGAAAAGUCUUAUACAUUCUGCUUUGUCAAAUAAAAAGUUAUUAUAAUUCUCUAUGAAAGUAAUCAUAUAUUAAGCUGUCCAAUAAAAAAAAUUACUACAUAUUCUAUGAUUAAAAGGCUGUUAAAGUACCGUAAUGUAUAUAUCUGUACAAGUUUUAGUCCUUGAAAUAUUACCCUUUGGAGGCAGUGAAAACCGAAAAUUUGUCCUUAAAUAUUACCCUUUGAAACAGUGAAAGUUGGAAGUUUGUCCUUGAAAUAUUAUCCUCUGGUAGCAGUGGAGGCUGGAAAUUUGUCCUUAAAAUAAUACCCUAAUGAAACAUGUGAAAGCUGGAAAUUUAUUGUUAAAUAUUACCCUUUGGAGGCAGUGGAAACCGAAAAUUUGUCCAUAAAAUAUUACCCUUUGAAAACAGUGAAAGUUGGAAGUUUGUCCUUGAAAUAUUACCCUUUGGAGGCAAUGGAAGCUGGAAAUUUGUCCUUGAAAUUUUACCCUUUGAAAGCAGUGAAUGUUGAAAGUUUGUCCUUGAAAUAUUAUCCUCUGGUAGCAAUGGAAGCUGGAAAUUCGUCAGAUUAAUUUUUUCUUCUUUGUAUGUAAAAUAUAGAAAACUAUUUUCCCAGAAGAUUAUUUUUUCUAUCACAUUUACCAAACAUGCUCUAAAAAUGAAGUCAUUUUAAUGUCCUUUAUAAUUUAGUACUGUUUUAUUCUCUACUACCUUUGAUAACAGCAACAUAUAAAAGAAUAAUUAGGACUUAUACUACU